rnacentral:lncRNA from 1 species
UUGAUUGAGAUUUUUACAUAUUGAUAUAAAAUUAUAGAAAAAAAUUAUUUGAGAAUAGAUAGAAAUUAUUUCUUUCUAUUUUCAUAUAAAGAUCAAGCAUUCAUGGAAGUCUUCAUAGAGAUGAAGACUGGACUACCAAUCAUUUGUAGAGUAGAGGCACAUUAAAAUUAAUCAUGAGAUAGUUCAAUCUAGAAUGCACCUAGGGUUAGACCCAUAAACUAUCUUGUGGCACAGAUGGGUUUUCAGAAGUCUAUAACCAUUAGUUUUCGUUUAUAUGCUUUUACAUGCUGGUAGUUAGAAUUAAAAUUUAGUUUAUAUAUGAUGCAUGUAUAUAUGUUUUGGAUGUGCUUGAGACCUAAGUUUCUCAUUAAAAUUAUAUUAAGUCAUAAUGAUGAAUUGUUAAGAAUACUACCCAUGCCUUCCUUCAUGCUAAG